rnacentral:rRNA from 1 species
AUACGGAGGAUCCGAGCGUUAUCCGGAUUUAUUGGGUUUAAAGGGAGCGUAGGUGGAUUGUUAAGUCAGUUGUGAAAGUUUGCGGCUCAACCGUAAAAUUGCAGUUGAAACUGGCAGUCUUGAGUACAGUAGAGGUGGGCGGAAUUCGUGGUGUAGAGGGGAAAUGCUUAGAUAUCACGAAGAACUCCGAUUGCGAAGGCAGCUCACUAGACUGUUACUGACACUGAUGCUCGAAAGUGUGGGUAUCAAACAGGAUUAGAUACCCUGGUAGUCCACACAGUAAACGAUGAAUACUCGCUGUUUGCGAUAUACAGUAAGCGGCCAAGCGAAAGCAUUAAGUAUUCCACCUGGGGAGUACGCCGGCAACGGUGAAACUCAAAUGAAUUGACGGGG